AAUCGCAAAUCAGCAUGCUGCGGUGAGUACGUUCCCGGGCCUUGUACACACCGCCCGUCACACCAUGGGAGUCGGUAACACCCGAAGUCGGUAGCCUAACCGUAAGGAGGGCGCCGCCGAAGGUGGGGAUUGAUGACUGGGGUGAAGUCGUAACAAGGUACC
rnacentral:rRNA from 1 species